AACUAAACAUUCAACUGGUACUAUGAUUCAUUUUGAUCAUAUACAUUGCAUUCAUUACAUCAUUUCAUCAUUUCUUUUACAUCACAUUUACCUCAAAAUGAACAUUACAUUCUUUUCUUUACUUUGCUUUAUACAUCAACAUCUUAAAUCAUCAAAUACAAAAGAUGAUCAUAAGGUACUUUACUACAAAAUGAAAUCCAACAUUGGUGGCCUCUGACUAAGGCGCGAUACCUUUACCGCGGUCGCUCGCCGGCUCGCUCGGUCCCGGCUCUGUGGAAAUAGUGGGGUGAGAACUACAAC
rnacentral:lncRNA from 1 species